rnacentral:lncRNA from 1 species
UUUUUUUUUUUUAUUACUCAAUGAAUUUUGUUACAUUUAUAGUUGUACAAUGAUCAUCACAACCCAAUCUUGCAGUAUAUCCAUCCCAAACCCCCAGCCCAUCCCCUCACCUCCCAACCUGUCUCCUUUGGAAACCAUGAGUUUUUCAAAGUCUUUGAGCCAGUAUCUGUUCUGCAAAGAAGUUCAUUCUGUCCUUUUUUUUAGAUUCCACAUGUGAGUGAUAGCAUUUGAUGUUGGUGUCUCACUGUCUCACUUAGCAUGAUGAUUUCUAGGUCCAUCCUUGUUGCUGCAAAUGCAAAAAAAUUAUUUCUUUUCUCUUAAUGGCUGACUUGUUUUCUUCAAACUUCAGUUUCUUUACCUCUAAGAUGGCAUUGGCAAUAGCAGCUUUUUCUGAGGAUUGCUUUGAGAAUUAAAUGAAAUAAUACAUGCAGAUAAUUUAGUACCUAUCCAGCACACAAAACACAGUCAAUAAAGGCUUCUUCUUAUUACAGUUACAACUUACCUCUUUGUAUCAGCUUUCUCUUUCUCUUCUAUAAACUGAUGAUUUUAAAGCUUUCUUCUGCUUUAAACAUGCUUUGAAUCCUAUCUAAUCCCAAAAGCAAAGUUCUUUGUUUUCUGGAUUUGUCAACCUGACAGCUUUAACAAUCAAUAUAUUAGCUUUUUUUCCCCCAGUUAAAAAAAAAAAUUCUACAGGAACCAACAAUGAUUCAUCAACCUGUAAUGAUAUACAUGAAUUUAGGGCAUGGCCAUAAUUAUUUUAUGAACUCACAUUUAAUGUACCAAAAGACUUCAUUCUUCUCACAAGAUUCCAGGAAGCACAAAGAGGGAGUGCUGUGGAGUGAUCAAGCUCCCUUUUCAUGUGCAGUCCUGAAGAGGGGCAUGUUCUUUUGCUGGUCUAACAACAGGGUGGUAGAUUAUAUAUGCCCUUACUUGAAAGAGGAAAAAAAAAAUCCAGAAACCCCAAAGUUAAGACAUUCAUAUCACACAAGCCAAACUAUUAAACAGAAGUCUGUGUGCCACGCUGUGAUUUUAUAACUCUGUUGAAUUAUCUUUCUGGAGUUCAACCCCCAUGAAAGAAGUGAUACUCAUUACCUCAUAAUGAUAAAUUAUGCAUGGCACUUUUACCUCCAGUGAAAAACACAAAUCUUCUUUGCUCUUAUAAUAUGUGAUGGAGAGUUUUACGCCCAUUUUAUGCAUAAGAAAGUAGAGGAUCCAUGAAGGAAGAUAAUCUACAUAAGAAUCACAUAGCUCACCAAGCACAAAACCAAUGCCAAAUAAACCCAAAGGUUUAGGCCUCAUGAUCCAAUGCCCCACUUCCCUUUGCUUGCCUGCCAAGUCCCGUAAGUGUGAGCUAUACUUCAUGUUUGUUUCUCAUAAAUACAUCCUUAUUGAUAAUGUCAAUAAAGUAAAUUUCAUCACCCACUUGGAAUGGCUCCGACUUCAUCCCAGCAGCAUUUAGCCUUCCAGAAGAGCAGAACAAUGCACCACAGUUUCCAAGUGCCUCUCACUUGUUGCUGGGACCUUUGCUAUUGGAUCAUACUUCCUCCUUCCCAAACCUUAGCAAAUAUAAUAUCUUGGUCCAAGUAAUUAUCUCUGUAAUGGAGGUAAUUGCAAGGGCAUGAAGGUUUUACCCAAAUUCCCAUAUGUUUCAGUGCUUUAUUUUAGGCUGACCCAUACCAUCGAAAAAUAUUCUAGCAAGAGCUGAAUUAGAGAGGGACAAGAUGUUAAGAAAAAACAUUAUUAGAACAAAAAUCCAAUGUUUGUAUAAAGCUUUAUACUUUAUCAAGUUUCAACCCAGGGAGCUAAGUAGAGCAGGUCUCAUUAUUCCCAUUUUAGAGGUGAGGAAAAUGAGGUUCAUUCAGAUCUUCUUAUUUCAAAUUUCAUCCUAGAGCAACAAUACCACAAGAUGCUUGGGUGUUUGACUAUUAUUGUUAUUAUUGCUCUUACAGCUCAAAACCAGAAGGGCUUUUGCCUGAACUUCCAUCCACAUAAACCAUCAGAGAAAUCAGAAUGGGAAUCAUCAGCCAAAUUUUACUUAAAACAAUUUACUUAUUAUUUUUCCAGACAGACUUUGGAUGAGUUAUUUUAAGCACAAUUAUACAUCAGUAAAAGUCCAUAGGAACAAUGGACACUCCAUAGGCUUCUAAUGGAGAAAGUGAAUUCAGAACAGACCUUGUUAUAAUGUCAAAAUGAAACAAUGCCUGGGCAAGUUCUAUUACCAUUCCACAAACAAAACGAAGGAAAUGGGAGAAGAAAGGAGAAAAGUAAAGUAUAUUUAUGUCCCGCAGGGCUGGAGCUCUGGCAGGAAAUUCUGAGUGAGAGGUCUGGCCGGUGCCCCAACACUUGACCCUGGGAUUGUGGAGCCUUUGCAUGGCCAUCUCCAACCAGGCAUGGGGUGGGCUCCUUCCACAGGCUCCAGAGGCCCAAGGGGCCUGAGCCCUAUCCAGCUUUCCUGCAUCUCACCAAAACUUGGCCACUGCACCUGUAGGGUAGCUUCUCUUCUUGCUCCUACAAGCCUUAUAAUCUUCCGGUUUAAAGCAGGAAGAACUGCGUCUCUCCCCUCCCCCUUCACAUCAUGCCCACAUACAGCAUUCACUGACCCCUGUCUGAGUAAGUUUGUAAAUAAGUGCUCAUUAGCUAUGGACUGGGAACAGGCAAGGAGAAGAGACAUGCUAUGUGCCGGGCACACAGCAAUAUUCUCAAACUUAAUACUACGUAAGAAUCACUUAGAAUGCCCAUUUAAGAUACAGAUUUCCAGGUCCUACCUCUGGAGAUUCUUAUAGGAGAAGUCUGGGAUGCACCCCAAGAUCUGUAUUUUAGUCAAACACUCCAGCUUAUCUUGAUGUAGAGGAUUUAGGAUCACUUUGAGAAAUACUAGAGCGAGUGUUAAAGAACUGAAUAAAUGAAUAAAUGAUAGUAUCAUGAAUGACAAUCAAAGAUGGAAGGGUGUUUCUCUCAUUUGCUUUACUGUAAGGAUCGUUGCUACACUUCUCAAAAAUAUUGAUCCCUAAGCCCACCCCAAAACAUAGUAAUCACCUCCUCCAGGGAAAGCAUUUAAGAAUCUAGAUUCUCAAAUAAGUGCCCCAAAUGAGUCUUCCGAUGAGGCAGCCUUGGAGAGUCCUGCCCUAUAGGCUGUCUCUGUAGCUCCCUCAACACUCAUUUCCUGUUCUUUGAGGCAGUAACUUGGGGUGACCACAUCCAAGCAGGUACCUGAAUUUCUUAUUUUUUUGGUAAAAUUGCUCCUUCUCUUGCUGUGUUAGAGAAAACCAGGCCCUUCAGCCAUACUCCACAUAAUACUUCCAGUAAACAGUCUAUAGCUAUGGAUGCAAACAGGAUUUCACAUAAUCUGGCAAGAUUUCAAAAUAUUUAGUCAUCAGAACUCUCUGGGCACCAACUCAUCCAAGUAGACAAAGAGUGUAUAUAAUAUAAACAAUAAGUUUUUACCAUCUAGAUAUCAGUCCCUAGUAUAGUAUUUUAAAUGGUAGUUUUUAAACUGUGUAAGCCUAAUAGAGCUUGGGAAUGCUGAUGUAUUUUUAAGAUCCUUACCUACUUUAUCUUUGCACCCCUUUAUAGAAGGUUUGGGAUUGGUAAGUACCUUCAAGGUAAUGCCUAGAAUUUUGCUCAAGUUUGGUUAAUAUAUCUUUCCCUGUUUAAUUUGUUGCAUGCUCCAUGCCCUGACAUCUUAUUCCUUACCAGACCAGAAGUUUUUAAAUGUGCAAGCCUAUUGUGCCUGGGGAAAAAUGUUGAACUUUUGCCUUUGUAAUAAGAUAUGCUCCAAUUACCAACUUUAGCAAUUUAAUAUAGUUGAAUAAUAACUGAAUGGGACACUUGGUCACUCAGUCAUUAUUCAAGCUCCUACUGGGGGUGGAGUGAGGAGUUGCUGGAGGCCAGAUUAUUCCAGGGAGGCUCAGCCACACAAAUCAACACUGAAAGAAUCUUUCUAAAAGCACUGUUACAAAGAAAAGAUUCUGGGAAAUACAAGUCAAACUAUAAAUUUGCAAAAUGCUGCUAAGAACUCAAGUUCGGUUCUACAGAAGGGUAACAUGCUUAGUGUUAAGAUAUUUUUGUACAUGGAAAGCAGGUUGAAGGGAUGAAGCAAUCACCUGGUUAAUCCAAUCUAAGAAGUGCUUUGUAGGUGGGACAUGAUCCAGAUCGAUGAGAUCAUUUCCACAGGGGCCAGAGGUAUGUGAAUCUUCCCCUUCAACCUACAUUGCAUGUUGCCUUGGAUUCUGACGGUGUUCCAGUAUUCAUUACAAGCUUCAAGCGCUUAUGUUGCUUUGAUGUGUACAAAGACAUUUCUGCUGAAAAUUUCAAGGUCUCUUAUUUAUAUGCAAAACUUGAAGGAGCCAAGGUUUUUGUUUAUUUAGUUUAGUCUUAGUUAUUUUUGUUCUGUUUUGAAAUGUACUAUAAAGCCAAUUCGCACCCCUCCCCCAGCCCCCCAGAACUAGGACCAGGACUUCAUCUGCCAGUAAAGAAAAUACCACAUGUAGACUUUUAAUUUAUGUACUUAGCACAUACAGUGUGUUCUAUAUGUUUUCUCAUGAAAACCCAGGUGGCCUGGCAGCCUUAGGGAACUAGGGUGUGGUCAUUCGGGAAGGCUGCCACUCCUCCUGGACGGAUGAGGCUGGGCCAAAGAGCGUCAGGUCACUGAUGGGACUCCUGACCAGAUAUGGCAUUCCUCCAGGACAUCUGCGCCCUGAUUCCUGCACUCGGAUGAUCCUCAUUUUGACUCAGUGUGUGAACAUCGCUACAAAGAGGACUUCGAAGUUUCCUGACCCCACAUCUCUACAGCCAGGAAGAAUCUCAUCUGCUGCCUAGACCAGGGAUCUUUUCCUUACAGGAUUCUUAGAAGGAGAGUUGUGGGAGUUGUGGAAGGUGUAGGAAGCCCUUAGAGAUAUGGACCAUGUCAACAGAGGGCUGAAGAUCUCAUGGGAUGACUCCUCAUCAUUCAUGUUCUCUCAGAUCCCUAGGGCUUUUCUUAGCCAGGUUAAGAGACCAACCAAAGGUGAAGAAAAAAGCACAGGUCUGGGACUGAAAGUUAAUGAAGGGACCUUAAAGGAUUUGUACUACUGUUGACAACCUGUGAUGGUGAUAUCUACUUAUUGGUAACAAAAAUUUUUAUCCUCUAUGGGAUGUUGUAGAUAGAAAGGCUUAUAGACAGGGUAAGUGUUCAGUGCAGUAGAUGUAUUUCCUUGACAGUUGAUCUAGCCCAGGGAUUAUUCUAUAAAAUCACCAUAGAUACCACCCUCACAUGGAUACAGGAAGAAAACUGAAAAACACUUUUCCUAAAGCGCUGAUUUUUCUCAUCAAGAGUCUGGUUAGAUUUCCCAGGGUUGGGACCUUUCUCCCUGCCUUGUGAGUGGGCAGAGAAAAUCCUAGACUUUGCCUCAGAUUUCGGCUCAGAAGACAGGACUACUGACCUAGAAAGAUUCAGUGGUCCUAGCCCAAAGAAUAUUCAACUUUUGUUCUAAUGGAAUCAGAAUCCUCUUUUCAGUGUCCACCAUGACCUGGGUCUCUGACAAAAUAGGUAGAUUACUCCAUAGUGGAGCUGCCAAGAGAAAUUCUAAGCCACACUUAGGUAAAUGGAAGCUCUCAUCAGCACCACACACCCCUGAGGAAGUAUCUGGAAUGAUCUUGGUUAUUGCCUUCAAUCUGAGUCUUGGCCUUAUCCAACUCCUGAAAUUUCCUUAUUUGAGCCUGAUCUAAGGACCAUGUCACACCUGUACGAUCAACUUGCUGACCAGCCCAAGUUCCUCACUCUAACCCCCAUUCUUGCCAUUUCUAGGGACACUCUCAGCCUCCGUUUCUGAUUUUAUCUAAUCUGCCAUAGCUGAUUAUCCAAGCUGAACACACGGCUGUGAGCCCACCCCAGGCCCAUGCCCAUCAGGAGGGCCUAACCUCAUCCUAGGCCCUUGUUCUGGCUCAGCGCCUCGACGUCUGUUGCACAAUUGGGCACCACGAGGAGCACAUGACUGCCAUCCACAAAGACAAAGAUGGAAAAUAUGAGCCAUCCACUUGGCAACAAUGUUGGCAUCUUCCUUCAUGCCUGCUGCCAAGCCCUGACCAGAAAGAUCUUGGACGGCUUAUUGCCCAAUGCGGUCAGUCCAGACUGAGGGUGGCUCAGGUCAUGGCGCGUAGAGCCAGCUAUGAUGAGAUUUACACACACAAGAAAAGGACAAAGAAGGGUUCCCAGACUCCAUAUCAUCUUAUGUCUACCAGAUUUAAACUGAAAGGAAAUAUAGAAAAUCUUCACAAAAUUAAACAGAAAGCUUUACUAUUGCUGUUGCUGUUAUUAUUAUUAUCAUUUAGAAAAUAACCAAAAAGAAACAUAUUCUGCUUUUUAUAAUUUUUGACUUGAUAUUCAUAGGACAAACUGAAUAGUUUUCUGUCCACAGAAAGCAUAUAUGGUGUUUUUCCAGCAAUAAAAGAAGCAGGACAAUAAGUGAAGAAAGUUAAGUACAUGGAUUAGGGCAUAAGCUGUAAUGUAGGAAAGAGCUAGGUCAUUGUUGCUGCAGAGUGCUAAUCCUGUUCCAAGUGAUCUUGAGAGCACUUUAAAGAAGCUAGGAAGAAAAUUAAGCACUUGUAUAUACAACUAUCUCAUUUUAUCUUUUCCCCAAAUCUUUCAGGUUAAGAGUUCUUCCCUACACCUUACAAAUAAGCAAACUGAGGCAGUCUCAAGCAUGUAAAAGGUUGUUCAAGUUUACAAAGCUACAAAAUGGUUGAGUUGGGAAUUGAACACCGUUCACCAGAUACCAAAGCUCCCAACUGUCUCUCAUUAAGGCAUGUCAUUAAUUUAGACAACUAUCUCCUCACUGAAGCAUAUGCCAAAGGAAGUUUACCAACAUUCCAAGACGAUGUCAUCAGCGAAAGCAAGGUCAAGUUAC